rnacentral:rRNA from 1 species
CCUACGGGAGGCAGCAGUGAGGAAUAUUGGUCAAUGGGAGAGAUCCUGAACCAGCCAAGCCGCGUGAGGGAAGACGGCCCUAGGGGCUGUAAACCUCUUUUGCCGGAGAACAAAACCCGGGACGUGUCCCGGACUGCGUGUAUCCGAAGAAAAAGCAUCGGCAAACCCCGCGCCAGCAGCAGCGGUAAUACGGAGGAUGCGAGCGUUAUCCGGUUUUAUUGGGGUAAAGGGGUCCGUAGGCGGACCGCUAAGUCUGCGGUAAAAUUGAGGGGCUCAACCCCGCCGAGCCGUUGAAACUGGCAGACUUGAGUUGGCGAGAAGUACGCGGAAUGCGCGGUGUAGCGGUGAAAUGCAUAGAUAUCGCGCAGAACUCCGAUUGCGAAGGCAGCGUACCGGCGCCAGACUGACGCUGAGGCACGAAAGCGUGGGGAUCGAACAGGAUUAGAUACCCUUGUAGUC